rnacentral:lncRNA from 13 species
AUGUGUGUUGGGGUGUGUAUUGGUGUGUGUUGGGUAUGUAUGUGUGUGUUGGGGUGUGUGUUGUGUGUGUUGGUAUGUGGAUGUGUUAUGUGUGCUGGGGUGUGUAUUGUGUGUGUGUUUUGUGUGUGUAUUGGGGUGUGUGUAUGUUGGGCGUGUGUGGUGUGUGUGAGUUGGGUAUGUGUGGUGUGUAUGUUGUAUGUGUACAUGUGUGUAUUGUCUGUGUUGGUGUGUUGGGUGUUGUGUAUGUUGGGUGUGUGCGUUGUGUGUAUAUGUGUGUUGUGUGUGUGUUGUAUAUGUGUGUCUUGGUGGUGUGUAUUGGGGUGUGUUGGGGGUCUGUGUAUGGGGGUGUGUGGUGUGUGUGAUGUGUAUGCAUGUGUUGGGUGUGUGUAUGUGCUGGGGUGUAUGCAUGUGUUGGGUGUGUGUGUUGUGUUGGGUUUGUAUUUGUGUGUGUUGGGUAUGUGUGUGUAUUGGGUAUGUGUGUGUGUUGGGCAUUUGUGUGUUGGGUGUGUGUGUGUGUUCGGUGUGUGUGUUGGGUGUGGGUGUGUUGGAUGUGUGUUGGGUGUGUAUGUGUGUAUGUUGGGGUGUGUUGAGUAUGUGUGUGUUGGGAGCCUGUGUGUAUUGGGUGUAUAUGUGUGUGUUGGGUGUGUGUGGUGUGUUGGGGAUGUAUGGUAUGUGUAUGUUGGGGUGUAUAUGUGUUGGGUGUGUGUGUGCAUUAGAGUGUAUAUGUUGGGAGUGUGUAUUGGGUGUGUCUGUGUGUGUUGGGUGUGUGUAUUGGGUUUGUGUGUUGGAGUGUGUUCGGUGUAUAUGUGUCUGUGUUGUGUGUUGGGUGUGUAUGUGUGUGUUGGGUGUGUAUGUAUGUUGGGUGUGUGUGUUGGGGCAUGUGUUGGUGUGCAUGUGUGUGUUGGGUUUGUGUGUCCUGGGUGGGUGCUAGGAUGUGUGUUGGGUGUGCAUGUGUGUGUUGGGUUUGUGUGUAUGCUGGGGUGUGUGUUGGGAGUGUGUGUUGGGUGA